GCUGGGUGUGGUGGCGUGCACCUGUAAUCCCAGCUACUCGGGAGGCUGAGGCAGGAGAAUCACUUGAACCCAGGAGCUGAGAUCAUGCCACUGCACUCCAGCCUGGGUGACAGAGCGAGACUCUGUCUCCA
rnacentral:SRP_RNA from 1 species